GCGGUUUAGAGAUGAAGGAAAGGUUGCACAUCCGUGUCAGAUUCCCUCAAAUGGUGCACCUUUCAUGAUAGUUGUUCUAAAGCUGAUGGAAUGUCAUCAAGGACCGCAAUAUAGGACCAAAAAUCAAAAGACACCAGUCACUCCACAACAGAACAUGGCUAUAGCUUAGCAUCAAGCAGGAAGAGGCCGACAGGCACAAAGAAAAAAGGAUGUCCUGCGGCCAUAGUAAUGAGGGAAGUCAUUCACUUUGAUGAGUACAAGGUUCCACAUGACACACGAUAUUGGCGAGAAGUGAAGUCAAUGAAACUUAGAAACGACCUUCAUUCUACAGUCUAUCAGCAGGUAGAACAGCGGAAAGUCAUUUAUAUUGAUCUGCCAAAGGAACAUCAAAAUCAUAC